rnacentral:rRNA from 1 species
AUUGAACGCUGGCGGCAGGCCUAACACAUGCAAGUCGAGCGGAUGAAGGGAGCUUGCUCCUGGAUUCAGCGGCGGACGGGUGAGUAAUGCCUAGGAAUCUGCCUGGUAGUGGGGGAUAACGUCCGGAAACGGGCGCUAAUACCGCAUACGUCCUGAGGGAGAAAGUGGGGGAUCUUCGGACCUCACGCUAUCAGAUGAGCCUAGGUCGGAUUAGCUAGUUGGUGGGGUAAAGGCCUACCAAGGCGACGAUCCGUAACUGGUCUGAGAGGAUGAUCAGUCACACUGGAACUGAGACACGGUCCAGACUCCUACGGGAGGCAGCAGUGGGGAAUAUUGGACAGUGGGCGAAAGCCUGAUCCAGCCAUGCCGCGUGUGUGAAGAAGGUCUUCGGAUUGUAAAGCACGUUAAGUUGGGAGGAAGGGCAGUAAGUUAAUACCUUGCUGUUUUGACGGUACCAACAGAAUAAGCACCGGCUAACUUCGUG